CCUACGGGAGGCAGCAGUGGGGAAUAUUGCGCAAUGGACGAAAGUCUGACGCAGCGACGCCUCGUGAGGGACGAAGGUCUUCGGAUUGUAAACCUCUUUCAGCAGGGACGAAGCGAAAGUGACGGUACCUGCAGAAGAAGCACCGGCUAACUAUGUGCCAGCAGCCGCGGUAAUACAUAGGGUGCAAGCGUUGUCCGGAUUUAUUGGGCGUAAAGAGUUCGUAGGCGGUUUUUCGCGUCGGAUGUGAAAACUCAGGGCUCAACCCUGAGCCUGCAUUCGAUACGGGAAGACUCGAGGACGGCAGGGGAGACUGGAACUUCUGGUGUAGCGGUGGAAUGCGCAGAUAUCAGAAAGAACACCAAUGGCGAAGGCAGGUCUCUGGGCCGAUCCUGACGCUGAGGAACGAAAGCGUGGGGAGCAAACAGGAUUAGAUACCCUGGUAGUCCACGCCGUAAACUAUGGACGCUAGGUGUGGGGAACAUUCCACGUUCUCUGCGCCGCAGCUAACGCAUUAAGCGUCCCGCCUGGGGAGUACGACCGCAAGGUUAAAACUCAAAGGAAUUGACGG
rnacentral:rRNA from 2 species